GAUGAACGCUGGCGGCGUGCUUAACACAUGCAAGUCGAACGGACGAUGAAGAGCUUGCUUUUCAGAGUUAGUGGCGGACGGGUGAGUAACGCGUGGGUAACCUGCCUCAUACAGGGGGAUAGCAGCUGGAAACGGCUGAUAAAACCGCAUAAGCGCACAGCAUCGCAUGAUGCAGUGUGAAAAACUUCGGUGGUAUGAGAUGGACCCGCGUCUGAUUAGCUAGUUGGUGAGGUAACGGCCCACCAAGGCGACGAUCAGUAGCCGGCCUGAGAGGGUGACCGGCCACAUUGGGACUGAGACACGGCCCAAACUCCUACGGGAGGCAGCAGUGGGGAAUAUUGCACAAUGGGGGAAACCCUGAUGCAGCGACGCCGCGUGAAGGAAGAAGUAUCUCGGUAUGUAAA
rnacentral:rRNA from 1 species